CCCGUCACACCACGAAAGUUUGUUGUACCCGAAGUCGGUGCCUUAACCUCGCAAGAGGAGAGAGCCGCCCAAGGUAUGGCCGAUGAUUGGGGUGAAGUCGUAACAAGGUAGCCGUAGGGGAACCUGCGGCUGGAUCACCUCCUUUCUAGGAGAGAAGGGUCCUGGAUGAAGCGCUCCUAUUUAGUCUUGUGAAGGAUCCGAGUGGAAGCCGGGACCGGAGAAAGACCGGGCCUGUAGCUCAGAUGGUGAGAGCGCACGCCUGAUAAGCGUGAGGUCGAUAGUUCGAAUCUAUCCAGGCCCACCAUCUGCGGGGAUGUAGCUCAGUUGGGAGAGCGCCUGCUUUGCAAGCAGGAGGUCAGCGGUUCGAUCCCGCUCAUCUCCACCACGGANAAGGGACACGGCCGGAGAGAAAAGAGGUCCGGCGGA
rnacentral:rRNA from 1 species